UACGUAGGGUGCAAGCGUUAAUCGGAAUUACUGGGCGUAAAGCGUGCGCAGGCGGCUAUGCAAGACAGAUGUGAAAUCCCCGGGCUCAACCUGGGGACUGCAUUUGUGACUGCAUGGCUAGAGUACGGUAGAGGGGGAUGGAAUUCCGCGUGUAGCAGUGAAAUGCGUAGAUAUGCGGAGGAACACCGAUGGCGAAGGCGAGUCUCUGGACGACUCCUGACACUGAGGCACGAAAGCCAGGGGAGCAAACAGG
rnacentral:rRNA from 1 species